rnacentral:lncRNA from 1 species
UGAGAUCACGCCACUGGACUCCAGCCUGGGCAACAGAGUGAGACUCUGUCUCAAAAAAAAAAAAAAAUUACAUACUGUCGAGUAUGACCUAAAAACAUAGAGAGACUAUAUUUCAAUAGUAUGACAGGAUUAUGUUAGCUGCUAAUAACAGAACCCAAAAUAACAAUAGAUUAAAUAAAAGAUUAGUAUCCCAGGUAAAAGUCUAGAGGUAGGAAUUCUAGGACUAAGUGAAGGUUCUGCUCAGUGAAGUCCUCAGGGACACAGGCACCUUCAGCUCAUAACUCUAUCAUCCCUGGAGGGUACUUAAGGGUCCAGGAUGGCAGCCAAAAGUCGUACCUACGUUUUAAACAGCAGGGUGCUGGAAGGCAUAAAGAAAAAGCCAGAGGCACACGCCUGUUCUCACUUAAGGAAAAUUCCUGGAAACUGCCACAAUACACCUUCGCUUACAUCCCAUUGAUCAAAACGUGGAUGCAAAGCCACACCUUACUGUGGGGUACAGGGAAAAAAAACUUUUUUUGACAAUCAUGAGUUCAUUAACAGAAUUCAGGGAUCUCUUAAUACAGAAGCAAGGGAGAACAGCUGUUGGGGGACCACCGGAAGUCUCUGCUCUAAAGAACAAUGUAAAUACCUGGUGGUAGACUAACACUGAUGGCCUACAAUGAAUCACACCUACUGACAUUCAUGCCUUUGUGCAGAGUUCCACACUGAUGCUGGGCUUGGCCUUGUGACUUGUUUGGCCAAUAGGAUCUCAGCAAGCACCUUGAUAAGUGCUUGUGCAUUAGGGCUUGCUGUCCUGAAAUCCAGGUGCCAUGUAAGAAGUGUGGGUUAGUCCCUAUGAAGAUGACAGACCACAUGGAGAAAGAGGCUGAGCCUAUACCCACCCACCUACCAGAGAAGAUCAGCAGAAGAACCAGUGAAUCAUUAUUGCUUUAGUCAUUAAUUUGGGGGCAAUUUGUUAUACAGCGAUAGAUAAGUGGUACAGUACAUAGACAAAUUUCUGCAGUUCAUCGAGCAUUAGCACCAAAUAAGUAUACAACAGUGUUUGGAGCACUAAAGAGAGUAUAAAAUAUUGCUUAAAAUUGUUUCCUUGGCCUCAUGAAACAGAAAUCGGCUCUGAUUAGCAACCAAAAAAUGAGAAUUUAUUGGAAGAACACUAAAUAGAAUUAAAGAAAUGCCGAAAACCAAGAUUCAAGAAGGGCAGUGUGGUAGACAUAUCAAGCAGUGUAUAUGUCACCUAUAAGCCAAACAGCCUGGCCUAACUCCAGGGUCAUUGACCACUUGUUUUCCCCAACUGCCACCAUAGCAACCAACUGUAUGGGCCCUGCCCAGAGACUACUGAAGCAACAGACUUUACAUUGGCACAUCCCAGUGGUUCCCCUCCCUUUCCCCAAGCCACACACAUCUCACCUCCCACCCCAAGAGGGCUGAGAUAGUGCCUAACUGUUGGGCUUCUAACAAAGUGUAGCCGUAAGUGCAGUGGAGUUAAUGUCCUUGGGGUAAAUCUAAUCAAAACAAGAUGGGUCCAGCAUAUAAACUCCUCUCCUUCCUCCACCCAGACAGAUUGUCCUGAAACACAGUAGUCCAUACUACCUCUCAAAAUAUGACCCUCAUGAUACUGACCAAUCACCCGGGCUUGAUACCAAGAGGUAGCUAGUUCGGUAAUACACUAUUUUAUUAUUAAUAGUUUCUCUUCCUUCUUUGCCCAGCCCGUUCGUCUUCACUCCAGUUUCUCUCAAACUACACUCAGGCUCUGUUUUCUACAGAACCCAGGCUAAAAGACUUGGCACCAGGAGCGUCCUGCAGACACUCAGGAUGGAAUGCUAGAGUUGGGUUACUUACCGACCGUGUGGCAAUAAAGACCCAUGGCACAGCAGCCUCUAGGAGCUGAGGGUGCCCUCCAGCUGACAUCCAGAAAGAAAUUGAAGCCCUAGGUUGUGAAACCACAAGGACGUGAAUUCUGCCAACACAUAAUGUGAGUUUGAAAGCAGAUUCUUCCCCAGUUGAACUACCAUCUGAAAAUCCAGUUUGGGCUAACAACUUGAUUGCAGCCUUUCAAAAAAGAAUCAGCUAAGCUGUAUCCAGACUUCUGACCCAUAAAAACUGUGAGAUAGUAUAUCUGUGUUGCUUAAGCUGUUAAUUUUGCAGCAAUAUUUAAGUUGUUGCUGUUAAGUUACAUAGCAAUAGAUAAAUAUAAAAUAGUACAACCACUCUGGAAAAUAGUUUGACAUUUUCUUAUUGCAUUAAACAUACACCAACCAAAUGACCCAGCAAUUCCACACCCUAGAGAAGUGGAAAACAUAGGUCCCUCCCAAAAACUUAUACCUAUGUUAUAAAUACCUCGUUAUUUAUAACAACUUCAUUUGUAAUAGCUAAAAAUCAGGAAAAAAAAGUCCAUCAAUACAAAAAAGGAUAAAGAAAUUAUAGUAUAUUAAUACAGUACAAUGGAUGCAACUCAGCCAUAAAAUGGAAUGAACUUUUGAUAUAAACACAACAUGAAUGAAUCUCAAAAACAUUAUGCUAAGCUAAGGAAGCUGGACACAAAAUAGUAUGAACUGUAUGAUUUCACUUUUAUGAAAUUUUGAUACAGGCAAACAUAAUCUAUUGUGAAAGAAAUUGGACCAGUGGAUGCUCUGGGGAUUGAGGGCAAGCAUUGACUUGGAAAGGGAAUGGGAUAACUUCCUGCAGUGAUGGACAUGUUCUGUGUCUUGAGGUGUAGGUCACGGAGGUAUAUGCAUUCAUCAAAACUUUGGAACUUAAGAUCUGUGUUUGUUAUUAUUUGUAAAUUAUACUUCAAUUUUCAAAAAAAAAUUUUAGUAAGCAAAGAACAAGGGAACUAUCUGUUUGCUAAAGGAUGGUAGCAUGUCUCAGCCAAAUUACCCCCAAGACACUUGCAAAAAUAAAGAGACUAACUGAUGCCCUGUGGAGUCUGAAAGAACAUAAGGCUCUGGGAAAAAAAAGACACCUGUGACUGGUUGUGCCCUCUCAGUUGAUCUUUUUUGCUUUGAGCUUCAUUGACUCAAUCCACCCAAAGAAAAUCAUCCCUUCAAUGAAAGCCAUGAACUCCAUAUCCCAUAUCUAAUCAAUACGUAGUCAGAAAAUAAGCUAUACACAACCAAAGCUGCUCAAACAAGUUUCAGUGAUAACUUGAUCAUCCUUACCAUGUAGCUACUUCAAACAUGAUUUGCUUUUCACCAAUUAUAGAUAUUACCUAAUUCAAAGUAAUAUUUGUUGUGGUACUCUAGUGUAAGCAAAGUACAGAGAAUAAAUAGUCAAAAGACCUAUGAGCUCAAAACUGUCAGGGACAUCAAAAACGAGAAAAGUCUGAGACACUAUCAGAGUUCCAGGAGCUUAAGGAGAAAAGAAGACUAAAUAUAAUGGGGUAUCCUCGAUGGAAUCUUGGAACAGGAAAGGAUAUUAGAUAAAAACUAAGGAAAUCUGAAUAAAGUAUGGACUUUAGCUAAUAAUAAUGUUUCAGUGUUGGUUCCUUACUUGUAACAAAUGUACCAUACUAACUUAAGAUGUGAAUAAUAGGAGAAACUAUGUGCAGGGCCAGAGGUGGGAAGGUAUGGGAAAUGUACCAUUUUAUCUACUUCUCUGUUAAUGAAAAACUGCUCACAGCUAGGUGGGAGGAAUAAGUUCUAGUGUUCUAUACCACCGUAGGAUGACUUUAAUUAACAAUACUAUAUUAUACAGUUUCAAAUAGCUAGAAGGAAGGUAUUGGAAAUUCCCCACACAAAAAAUGAUAAAUAUUUGAGAUGACAGAUAUGCUAUUAAUAAUUAUCCUGAGCUGAUCACAUUAUAUAUAGAAACACUGCUCUGUAUCCAUACAUAUGUACGAUUAUUAUGUGUCAAUUAUAAAAAAGAAAUGCAAAGUUCUUGUUCCAUCCACCACUCACAGGAAGAUAAUCAUUACUCAUGUUAGUGCUUUAGUUUGGACUUUGCUAUGGCUUGAAUAUGGUUUGUCCACACCAAAAAGCAAACCAUCAAACAAAAAAAAUUGCUCUAAAAUUAAAAUUUGUUUUUUUAAAAACCAAAACCUAUGAGAGCAAAUUUUUAUAUAAUUUAUUAGGAAGAUCUGGGAGACAAGCACUGCAAGGGCAUGCUCUGGGAGAUUUAUCACAUACAAAAGACUAAGAAAGGACAGGAUUAAAAUAUGAGGUCAGAAGAAAAAACUCAACACCCCAGGAACAGAAUCAGUGCUUUUUCCUCCAAAUAGUUAUUUUGAAUGUAAUCAGCAUCAACCAGCCUCUCUUCUGCCAGCUCUUAUUAUUUCUAUUUUAUCCCCUGCCAAUCUGGAUGUGGGACAAGUGCAAGUUCCUCCAAAGAAACUACUGGUGUAAAAGUAUAAAUGGGAAACGUAGUUGUUUUUGAUGAUUUUGUAAGAAAAAUGGAGAAGACAUUUAUGUUGAACAUGGAAAACAUGUUUUAAAUCUCUUUAUAUUGGAGAUUAGUAAUGAUAUUAUUUGGAUGAUAGGAGAAAUUUGAAUAUGGACUGAAUAUUAGAUAUUGUAUUGUAUCAAGUUUAAGUUUCUGGGUGAAAUAACUAUGUUGUGGUCAUGUAGAGAACAGCCUUGUUCUUAGGAGACACAUGCUGAAGUAUUUGGUGGUGAAGUGUCGUGAUGCUUACAACCAAUUCUCAAACAGUUCAGAAAAUUAUACACAGGUGCACAUUUGUCUCUUUAUCUAUUUAUCUGCCUAUCUAUACACAAAAUGUGUAUACACAAAUAUUUAUUAAAAUAUAUACCCUCUUUUUCUGUGUACUAUAUGGAAGGGGUAUAUGAAUAAUUGCUAUACUAUUCUUGCAACUUUUCUAAAUUAUUGAUAUUUGUCAAAAUAAAACAUUUGUGAGAA